rfam:Anopheles melas strain CM1001059_A cont2.3434, whole genome shotgun sequence.
AAGAUGCGACAAACUCCGUCCAGAGGGUGUCCGAUUUCAAUGAACUCAUCACUGGGCAAAGUUUGUCGCAUAAA